rnacentral:rRNA from 1 species
ACAAAGUGACAGGUGGUGCAUGGUUGUCGUCAGCUCGUGUCGUGAGAUGUUGGGUUAAGUCCCGCAACGAGCGCAACCCUUAAGCUUAGUUGCCAUCAUUAAGUUGGGCACCCUAGGUUGACUGCCGGUGACAAACCGGAGGAAGGUGGGGAUGACGUCAAAUCAUCAUGCCCCUUAUGAUUUGGGCUACACACGUGCUACAAUGGACGAUACAAAGGGCAGCUAAACCGCGAGGUCAUGCAAAUCCCAUAAAGUUGUUCUCAGUUCGGAUUGUAGUCUGCAACUCGACUACAUGAAGCUGGAAUCGCUAGUAAUCGUAGAUCAGCAUGCUACGGUGAAUACGUUCCCGGGUCUUGUACACACCGCCCGUCACACCACGAGAGUUUGUAACACCCGAAGCCGGUGGAGUAACCAUUUAUGGAGCUAGCCGUCGAAGGUGGGACAAAUGAUUGGGGUGAAGUCGUAACAAGGUAGCCGUAUCGGAAGGUGCGGUUGGAUCACCUC